rnacentral:rRNA from 1 species
GCUUACGGCCAUACCACCCUGAGCGCGCCCGAUCUCGUCUGAUCUCGGAAGCUAAGCAGGGUCGGGCCUGGUUAGUACUUGGAUGGGAGACCGCCUGGGAAUACCAGGUGCUGUAAGCUUUU